rnacentral:tRNA from 1 species
AAAGACUGGGCAUGCUAAAGCAUGUCCCUCCCCGUGCCAGUCGGUCUCCCUGGCUCCAACAGGAGCCUGGGGGAGCCACGAUUUCGGUCGUGGCAAGCUGAAAUGUCGACCGAGACCAAGAUAGCACCAAAGAGCCAGCACUAAUUAUCAUCACGCUGGGCAAAGAAGACCUGGGCUUGUAGCUCAGCUGGUAGAGCGCUGCCUUUGCAAGGCAGAGGCCCUGGGUCCGAAUCCCAGCAAGUCCAUUAACAUGCACACAUUGAGGCAGACUCGAUGUGGAAGGGCGAAGGUCCGUUUUUUUAGAGCAAAGAGAAACGGUCCGACGAUGCCGUGUACAAGCUUUGCGACCAGACGCUCACUGAGUUUAAGUGGAGCAUA